rnacentral:rRNA from 1 species
AGAGCGAACGCUGGCGGCAGGCUUAACACAUGCAAGUCGAGCGGGCGUAGCAAUACGUCAGCGGCAGACGGGUGAGUAACGCGUGGGAACAUACUUUUUGGUUCGGAACAACACAGGGAAACUUGUGCUAAUACCGGAUAAGCCCUUACGGGGAAAGAUUUAUCGCCGAAAGAUUGGCCCGCGUCUGAUUAGCUAGUUGGUGAGGUAACGGCUCACCAAGGCGACGAUCAGUAGCUGGUCUGAGAGGAUGAUCAGCCACAUUGGGACUGAGACACGGCCCAAACUCCUACGGGAGGCAGCAGUGGGAAUAUUGGACAAUGGGCGCAAGCCUGAUCCAGCCAUGCCGCGUGAGUGAUGAAGGCCCUAGGGUUGUAAAGCUCUUUUGUGCGGGAAGAUAAUGACGGUACCGCAAGAAUAACGCCCCGGCUAACCUUCGUGCCAGCAGCCGC